rnacentral:rRNA from 1 species
AUGAACCUGCCUUUCAGAGGGGGACAACAGCUGGAAACGGCUGCUAAUACCGCAUAACACAUAGGUGUCGCAUGGCAUUUAUGUCAAAGAUUUAUCGCUGAGAGAUGGCCUCGCGUCUGAUUAGCUAGUUGGUAGGGUAACGGCCUACCAAGGCGACGAUCAGUAGCCGGACUGAGAGGUUGGCCGGCCACAUUGGGACUGAGAUACGGCCCAGACUCCUACGGAAGGCAGCAG